AAUAUUGGACAAUGGGGGAAACCCUGAUCCAGCAAUGCCGCGUGAGUGAUGAAGGCCUUAGGGUUGUAAAGCACUUUCGGCCGGAACGAAAUCGCGCGGGUGAAUAUCCCGCGUGGAUGACGGUACCGGAAGAAGAAGCACCGGCUAACUACGUGCCAGCCGCCGCGGUAAUACGUAGGGUGCGAGCGUUGUCCGGAUUUAUUGGGCGUAAAGAGCUCGUAGGCGGCUUGUCGCGUCGACUGUGAAAACCUGCGGCUCAACCGUAUGGUCUGCAGUCGAUACGGGCAGGCUAGAGUUCGGUAGGGGAGACUGGAAUUCCUGGUGUAGCGGUGAAAUGCGCAGAUAUCAGGAGGAACACCGGUGGCGAAGGCGGGUCUCUGGGCCGAUACUGACGCUGAGGAGCGAAAGCGUGGGGAGCGAAC
rnacentral:rRNA from 1 species